rnacentral:misc_RNA from 1 species
CAAAACAUGGCGGAGACUUCAUAUCACCGUUUGUUAGCAGAUAUACAUAUAUUUUGUUACCCCAUUUCCCUUUCUCCGAUCUCUUAUUUAGGGAGUUCAAAGUGUAAUAUAAGUCCUUUGAUCUGAUAAAGGAAUGGAAAACUACGAAAAAAUUAAGAGUAUCGGCCGUGGUGCCUACGGAACUGUAUAUCUGUGCAGACGAAUUUCCGAUGGAUGUCAUGUUAUCAUCAAACAAAUUCCUGUGGAAGAAAUGAGUAAAGAGGAGAGAGUGGCCGCUAAAAACGAAGUCCAAGUGCUUUCCAUGCUGAAACACCCAAAUAUAAUUGCUUAUUUUGAGAGUUUCGUCGAGGAAAAAGCCUUAAUGAUAGUCAUGGAAUAUGCCCAAGGAGGUACUAUGUACACUUUCCUCGAGGAACGCGAGGGAAAGCUUUUGGACGAAGACGAGAUAAUACGACUUUUCGUACAAAUUGUGCUGGCUAUUCAUCACGUCCACCAACAACACAUCCUUCAUAGGGAUCUUAAGACUCAAAACAUUUUAUUAAACAAGACAAGGAAAGUAGUAAAGAUCGGAGAUUUUGGCAUCUCAAAAAUACUGAGUAGCAAAAGCAAGGCCAACUCCGUGAUAGGCACGCCAUGUUAUAUUUCGCCAGAACUGUGCGAGGGCAAACCAUAUAAUCAAAAAAGCGAUAUUUGGGCUCUUGGAUGUGUUUUAUACGAACUAGCAACGUUAAAGAAAGCGUUCGAGGCAUCCAAUCUGCCUGCUCUGGUAAUGAAAAUUAUGAAAGGGAACUUCAUUCCGAUUUCCGAAAGAUACAGUGAAGAUUUCAAGAAUCUUGUUUUAAACAUGCUUCAGGUGGACCCCGCUAAGAGGCCAACUCUACGGCAGAUCAUGGCACAACCGCUUGUGGUCAAUGCUCUGUUUAAUCUGCACACUGAUGUAGGACGAGUUCCAUGCAACAGAGCGCCAAGACCAACAGCAGGAAUAUCGGCUGUCAUACCUCCAAAAAGUGGACGAUCAUCAAGUGGCAGCCGUCCCACAGGCAAUCAAGUCUAUCGCACCAGCUCCACAAACUCAGCCUCUGUAAUUCUUGAAGGACUUCCUGAUUUUAAGCCAAGAGAACCCCAGUAUGUAGUGUACCUGUGGGGAGGUGGCAUCAGAUCACCAGCUAAACUGACACUUCCACAGCAUGACUCUGAUGUCGUUCAGGUAGCCACAGGCAGGGCACUGAAAACAGGGGUCUCUAAAAGUGGACGUAUGAUCAUCUGGGAUUCCAAUAAGAAGGCAGUGGAUGUUUCUUCAGAUGCAGCAGAGAAGGGGAGAUUGUUGGAAGAUAUGUGGGUACCAAGGUUUCUAGAGGGGCAAUCUGGAGUGACAAUAGUCGAAGUAUCCUGUGGUGAUUUCUUUGUGGCUUGUUUGACAGAUCGUGGAAUCCUCAUGACAUUUGGGAAUGGAAUGCAUGGUGCAUUAGGACAUGGAAAUCACAAUGACGUUGGUCAGGCCAAAAUUGUUGAACAAUUGAUUGGAUUUGAAGUUAAGCAGGUGUCCUGUGGUGCUUCCCAUGUCAUGGUCGUCACGGCUGACCGUGAACUCUUCUCGUGGGGACGCGGUGACAACGGGCGUUUGGGGCUCGGAAACCAGCAGUGUUUUUCUCUUCCACAACCUGUGAGUCUUGAACCUGGUUUUACUGCGAAACAGGUCAAAUGCGGCGUGGACUGCUCGUUUGUGUUGACAUUGAAUAACAGGCUGUUAGCCUGCGGUAGUAACAGAUGUAACAAACUGGCAUUAGACACUGAGGAUCAAUCCGUGGACGAGUCACAUAUUCUGAGGCCCAUCACUUCCCUGCCUGUGAUGGCCGAGCCUGUCAAGGCUGUCACCAUGGGAACGUCACACACUGCGGUGCUAACGGACAGCGGUAAAUGCCUAACAUUCGGUUCCAACUCGUUUGGCCAGCUCGGUUAUGAACGCGAGGGAAGUUGCCGGGAGCCCAGAGUUGUUAAAGCUUUGGAAAACAAGAAGCUUACGUUUGUUUCUUGCGGAGAUACUUUUACAGUUGCAGUUAGCAAUGAUGGAGAUGUGUUCUCGUGGGGGAAGGGUGCCAGGGGGCGGCUGGGAUUGCAGACGGACGAAGACUGUGCCACACCCAUGUCUGUUACUUUAUCAACGAAAUUGAAAGUCCUCUCUGUGUCGUGUAGCCACAGCACUACCUUGAUGUGUGGACAGGUUCUUUAAGUAACAAAUCUCUUGCGAUAGCUUGAUUCCGGUGAGGUUCUUUACGUCAUCGACGAACACGUGAAGAAGAAAGAAAACGAUUGUCCCAAAUCAGCCGUUGGUCUUUAGAUUUCAGAAACAAUGCGCAUGCGAGUUUGAUCUGUUGUUAGGGAUAUCCCAUAUGUAGCAUCUUUCUAAAUGAAAUCAGUUCAGUUGUUCAACCGAAUCACAUCUAAGACCGUACUUACUAGGAUCAUUUCUACAGUACGUGUUCCGUCUUUGUAUCCUAGCAAAGACAACGCCAUCAACCGCGAUGACGAUGUACAGCGCUCAUCUCUGAGCGGGAAGCACGUUGUCGAUUCGUGACGACUAGUUGGCGACGAUUGAUGACCGUUCCUCUCCCUACUCUGGUGGGGGAAUUGGAGGAGGUGAUCGCAUUCUGAGCGGUUGAUAUUAAACAGACAAUAGGAUGUUGUAUGAGAGGGUAAUAGAUGGUGGUUGGGCUCUAAGCCUUAUACUCUUCUUCAAUUACAGUUCACCAAAAGUCAAAACAGAUUUAUCACAGUGAGUGUGCGUGCAUUUUUCUGUAACGGCAAUUAACUGAGAGAAUGUAACGGCAAUUAACUGAGAGAAUAUUCUAGUGAGGAGAAUUUCUUCAAUUACAGAUCUCCCUAAAGUCAACACAGAUUCAUCACAGAAUAAAUCGAAACUCCUGUUUGAGCCACGUCGCAACAAAGCUUAUUUAGACACUUCAGCGAAGACAAUUUUCGAUUUAAUAUUAUAGUCAUGGACAAUCUGCUGUUUGACUACGAUCAUCCGACUCUCCGUGUUCUCUUCGUUUCGACGAUAAUCAUACUGGGGCUGUUGAUUAUUAACGAUUUGAUUCCUUGGGGUCCGCUGGGCCGUCGUACAAGACGCAGAGAAAGCAACCUUGUUCUAAUCAUCCUCGCAAUACUCGCCUUGGCGGUCGAGUGGACAGUUUACAUGUUUUUAUGAGUCAAAAUGAAUUAAGCUACUGGAACUUUAGUCUUCGAUCUUGCAUCAAUCGCCUACCGGCCACUCCGAUUCGAUUUUCUGAUGUGUAAAUCAGCCCUCGUCAUUUCUGCGAUUCCAGCUUACAUUUCUUCUCGCGGAGUGUUAUAACAGAUUCACAAUAUUUCAAUUUAGGUAACAUUCAAGGGAACAAGGGUAAACUAAGCUGCUGAUAUUUGAAUUUACUUUGUGGACGCUUUCUAGGACGUGGAAAGAGCUGACAUUGAUUAUUCAAACUGAACAAAGAACUCAAAAAACAAACCGUCAGGCAAUAAUUGUAGAGACUGAUCUAGGAAAGAGCCAAAGAAAGAUCGACCAGGGAGUAAAAGAUGGUUUCCAGCUGACUAUACCAUGUGGACGAUUUGAAUAUUUAAAUUGCUGUCAUUUUUCGUCACAUUUGACUUGCAAAUAAAGAACUGAAUUCACAUAUA